CUCCCACUAAUACUACUAGAGAGAUAAAUUAGGUUAAAUGCUAGUGCGACAGACUUUCCUCAUUGUACGCACCAGACAUUUUGACUGAUCACCUGCGACUAGAGGACUGGAGGACUGGAGGAGAGGCUGACAGACGCACCAGAGACCCAACGAUGAAAAUGAAACAACCAAUUACCCCGAUUCUCCAGGCGUCUCCUUCCAACGGUUUCAAACACCACGAGGGAGAGGUGGAGCAGAGGGAGGCGGGGCCCUACGGUCCGCGGGCGGGGACCAGGUGCUCACCUGAGACCAGG